rnacentral:rRNA from 1 species
CCAGACUCCUACGGGAGGCAGCAGUGGGGAAUAUUGCACAAUGGGGGAAACCCUGAUGCAGCGACGCCGCGUGAGCGAUGAAGUAUUUCGGUAUGUAAAGCUCUAUCAGCAGGGAAGAAAAUGACGGUACCUGACUAAGAAGCCCCGGCUAACUACGUGCCAGCAGCCGCGGUAAUACGUAGGGGGCAAGCGUUAUCCGGAUUUACUGGGUGUAAAGGGAGCGUAGACGGUCCUGCAAGCCAGAUGCGAAAGCCCGGGGCUCAACCCCCGGACUGCUCUGGAAACUGUACGGCUGGAGUGCAGGAGAGGUAAGUGGAAUUCCUAGUGUAGCGGUGAAAUGCGUAGAUAUUAGGAGGAACACCAGUGGCGAAGGCGGCUUACUGGACUGUAACUGACGUUGAGGCUCGAAAGCGUGGGGAGCAAACAGGAUUAGAUACCCUGGUA